GCCCUGAUAGUGUAGCGGCCUAUCAUGAGGCCCUGUCGAGGCCUCGACCCGGAUUCGAAUUCCGGUCAGGGCGCCA
rnacentral:tRNA from 1 species